GUUCCUACCAGUGGAAACCAAGGCAUUAUCUUUUGUACUAUUUUUCUUCCUCAUUGCCACUUUAUCAUCUACUCUGAUAUCUGAAGACUUCCCACAAGGCCCUGAGGACUGGAUCAGAGUGAAGCAAGAGGAGUCAGAGUCAGACAGAAGGUGAUGUGAUGAUGGAAACAGAGAUUGGAGUGAUGUGCUUUGAAAAUGGAGGAAGGGUCACAAGCCAAAGAAUAUAGGAAGCUACUAGAAGUUGAAAAAGUCAGGGAAACAGAUUCUCCCCACAGAGCUCCCAGAAGAAAACAACACUGUCAACACUUUGAUUUUCGUUCAGUGAAACUGAUCACAAACUUCUUACCCCAGAACUGUAAGGGAAUAAAUUUCUAUUGUUUUAAGCCACUGUUGGUGGUAAUUUGUUACAGCAGCAGUAGGAAACUAACACACCCUGCUUAGAGCUUUGAGGUCAGCCUGUGCUGUGAACUGUGAUUGUGGAAAGUGAGGAGGACAUUUCUGUGACUCCCCAGAAUCCAUUCCACCUUCCCCCAUUAGACUUUAGCCAUGUAACCUGGGGAGUUCAUCCCCGGAGUGGGUCCUGAUUAGUUCAAGCCCAACUCCAUUAAAGUUGGUUGAUUCAGAAAUACAAGCCUGAGUCAAUCAGAGCAUGGAAUUAUCCUGCAACAGGAAUUAAUGUAGAAAUGGGCACAUGACCCAACUUGAGCCAAUGAGAUGCAGGGAGAACAAAGAAAGACAGUCUCUCUUUUUCUGCUUUCUAUUUCACUGAGAAAGUAGAAGCAAUCAAGAAUCUUUCUCAAUCUCACACCAUCAUAUAUAGCCAUUUAUUGCACCUGUGCCCAUAUACUCUGCUUUUUUCCUUGAUACUAAGGAUGAAGAGUCAGUGAUUGUCCUUCAGAUCUCACCCCUCUUACCUACCUAAGGACACACGGCCCCAGCUCCACAUCCCCCCAACCCAAUCUUCAGCGUCAUGAAUUUCCCCCUCUCUACUAGACUCUUCUCAUCAGCAUAAAAAUACAUUUUAUUUUCCC
rnacentral:lncRNA from 1 species